UUUAAAAUCACCAUCAAAGAAAUUCCAAUUUUCUCGGAUUUUUAUUUUUUUCUUACAAAUCCCUAAAACCCUACUAGCUAGUCCCUUCCUCUCCUAUUAACUCAACUCACACAGCUCAAGAAGCUCCUCUGUUUCUGACUAGUGGCUGAUAUCAUUUCAGAGACAGUGCUUUUGAUGACUCUGCCAACUACAACAACAACAGCAGCAGCAGCUUCAGACAAAGCUUAAACGAAGCUGUAUCUACUGACUUUUGAUGGUGAAAUAUCAAAAACCCUAAAUUAAUUUACACUUUUUUUUUUUUUUUGGUUUUUCCUCUGAGGGUUUUCAUCAUCAAUGCUUACAACAAAGUACAGUGUGUAAAACCAAAAACCAAAACCAAAGACUGGGUCAGUUUUUUUUUC